UCCUUGGUCACCAUCCAAAGCCAAAGAGAAAAGGAUUGUCUUUCCCAAAGUGUCGCAACGAAAAUCUAGGGUUCGUGUUCUGCUUAGAUCUGCGAGACCAGAUCGUUCUUCUUCCUUCUCUGACAACAACAAUGGAGUUUCGAGAUAUUGAGUGAGUCGAGUCGAUUCGAAGGAGCUCUGUGUGAAUCUUCGAGUAGCGUCAUUUUGGCUUAUGUUCUAUUCGUCUGUAACGUCUCGAGUCACUGAUCCCUCGCUAUUAUCAUACUUCUUAACUCCGGCAUCUUCCUCUACAAGGCUGUAUCUACACCUAUAUAAAGUCAUAUUAUCCCUAAGAUCUUAGGCAGAUCAGAGUGGCAAGAACCCUUCUCUCCUCCUUGCUGACUUGAAAACCGGGUGCUGUAGCACCACCAGUUCGUCUCCAUGAUCCCGACUUUUCUAUCCGCUUAGUCUGCAUUGCAGCUGUGUCGGCGAUCUCUUCCCAAUGCGCAGAUCAUAGUGAUGUUGUGUCUCAAGGCGGCGAUCGAUGCUGCGGAGGAUCCGGUUCGGUUAAGGCAUGUGCUUCUUCCUAGGCUGGAAAGAGCUGAUGAAUCAGAAGAUGAACAGCCAAAAGAUUUGUCACCUGACUUUGUUGGUAUGAGCGAUUUGUCAAUGCCCUUGAUGAAUCAUCUAAUGAUACACUUCCAGAUCUAAAAGAGAAGACUUUGAAGGUUGAGACUAAAGAGCUAGGUGAAAUACUUGAUGUUGCCUCAAAGUCUAUGGAAGGCAUUGUGCAAAACAUUGGAAACUUUCUGCCUAAGUUGCAGACACAAGAGAUGGAGGCGUUUAUGUCCAAACUAGCUAGAGUGAGUAGCAAUGCAAAAGCAUCAGAAAAAGACUGUGGAUUUGGAUUGCUUAAGACUCAUUCAUCAGAUAUUUAAUAAUGCUAUCUUAGAAGUUAGCUUAUUCAGGAGAAGUAUGAACUCCAAUGGAGCAAACUUUUUGUUUGAUGAUCUCUACCCAGAAGGUUACCUUACCAUACUGUCAAACACUACAACAUACACACACACAAGCAUUGAAGCUGAAGUAUUAUUGCGGGAAAUAAUAAAAUUUCGACCAGUUACUUGCAUUUAGAACAAUAAGGCCUUGGUGUAAUGUGUAUAAAAACUACCUUACCAUACGGUCAAGCACUGCAACAUACACACAAAAGCAUUGAAGCUGAAGUAUUAUUGCGGAAAAUAAUAAAAUUUCGACCACUUGCAUUUAGAACAAUAAGGCCUUGGUGUAAUGUGUAUAAAAAAUAUGUUACUGGUAGUAUAUACUAGGGUUUUCACCGUCUAUGUCGCUUUGCUAACUCUACCUCGCUCCACCUCCUUCCUACUGAUAUUGUAAUGUUUCUGAAACACAUUGAAAUCUCCACAUAAACUUUAUCAUUUAA